UACAGAGGUCCCAAGCGUUGUUCGGAUUCACUGGGCGUAAAGCGCGCGUAGGUGGCUUCGUAAGUCCGUUGUGAAAGUCAAAGGCUCAACCUUUGAAAGCCGAUGGAUACUGUGAAGCUAGAGUACGGAAGAGGCGAGUGGAAUUCCUGGUGUAGCGGUGGAAUGCGCAGAUAUCAGGAGGAACACCGGUGGCGAAGGCGGGUCUCUGGGCCGAAACUGACGCUGAGGAGCGAAAGCGUGGGGAGCGAACAGGA
rnacentral:rRNA from 1 species